ACCGCCCUCGGUCCCACGUGGCCCCCCUUCGGUGCCCUCGCCAAGCUACCAGACAAUGCCACAGAUGCCAGAGGAUUGGCCCACGUAUUCUGCAUAGAAGUUGAGGAGGUCAAGAAUGAACUUUGAUCUUUCCUGAUAAUGGUGGUGGAAUGACACCUCGGGACCUGUACCGAAUGUUCAGGAGGCUUCAGCUACCCUGUUUCUCACAACAAACAAGGCAGGGCUCUGCCCUGCUCCUGU
rnacentral:lncRNA from 1 species